CAAAGUGGAAAAUGUCAAAACCGUGACAGUAGGCCUACUGUUUCGCAAGACAUCGCUUUAUUUACAUUUAAUGAAGCAAUUUAAGAGAGGAUAUGAGAAAAGGAGGAAUGAAAACACGUGGCAGAAAAACAGAUUUGAUAGAAAGAAUCUGAAGGCGUCCAGCCUCUGCUGUCUGAACCUAAAAGUGGAAUGUAUAUGGCCUUCAAAGAUGUCAACAACUUCAGUCAUAACAUUGAGAUCUGCCUUGUAUCUGUGUUCAACAAAUAGAUGUGUACUUUAUGCACAGACUUGCAGCCUCUCCGAUUGAAGCAGCAGAUCACUGACGAAAGAAAUUUUGAUGACUUCUUUGAUAAUCCCUGGCUAGAACCAUUAUAGAAAUAAUCAUGGAUUCCAUGACAGGGACAGGAAUAUGGUCAUCAACUACUGUUAAAAUACUUCAAUUUCUUGACUGUGGAUAAUGAAUUCAAUGAAAUUGUAUUGAAAACGAAUUCAAAGCGAGAUCAGUUAUACAUUUCUUAAUGAGAACUUCACUUCUCUGAUACAUCUCUUUUACAUUCUCAGAUUUGUUAAUUCAAAAAGAUUUUAAUUCUGUUUAUUAAAAUUGGAUCUCCUCUAUCCAUUUUAAUACUACAGGAAAUAUCUUGGCAUCGUUUGUUAUAUGUAAAAGAUAAAUGUAUAACCAUCUACACAAUUACUACAGCUACUAAUCACCAGAUUUUUGCAUUCCCUCUGUAGAAUGAACAUGUAUAAAGUAAAUGAAUUUAUCUACAAUUCUUGCAAUUAUAUUCCAACUUUAUUGUCCAGGUGAUCAAGCCUUGAAUAUAUUUCAGGAAGCUCCAAACACUAAUGAAAAAUGUUUUAAGAAAGUUGUAUCAAAUAAAGAUGUACAUAUUGA